CUCCGGCCACCACCUCCCGUCCGUCUCCACCGCCUCUGCCGCGGCGACUCCUACGCCCACCGCGAAGGUCGGGUUCAAGUGCUCCGUCUGCGGCAAGGCCUUCGGUUCCUACCAAGCGCUAGGAGGGCACAAGGCCAGCCACCGCAAGCUCAACGCCAGCAGCGGCGGGGAGGAGCCCUCCGCCGCCGCGUCCCCGGCCGCUUCCGCUUCCGGCUCCUCCACCGCCGCAGCAGGCGCCACCACCACCGGCGGCAAAGUGCACCAGUGCUCCGUGUGCUUCAAGACGUUCCCGACGGGGCAGGCGCUGGGCGGGCACAAGAGGAGACACUACGAUGGGAGCCUCGGCAGCGGGUCGGCCACCGCGUCGACGGCGUCAGAGGGCGCCAGCUCGAGCCGCAAGGGGUUCGAUCUGAACCUACCGGCGACGGCGGAGUUCGCGUUGGA
rnacentral:lncRNA from 1 species